CAUCUGAACACACACAUUACGCACAAAUAUUUUUUAUUUCCACACCAGGAAAAUACUUUCUGCUCCAUUGCAUUUACUGCAAAGACAAAAUGUGUGAUCGCGAGGCCAAGACCACGAUGGAAGAGGGAAAAGAGGAAGGAGGUGAAGAAGGUGAAAAGGUAAGACAUUUUAGAACUUAAUGUGUGCUUUAAACUGGGCUGCCCCUCUUGCUGAUUCAGUCAUUUUAAAGUGCUUGUAUCGACUUCCCAUUAACCAGGGAGAAAAGGGACAUGGAAGAGGAGGACAACAUGGAAGAGGAGGAGAACAUGGAAGAGGAGGAGGACGUGGAAGAGGAGGAGAACAUGGAAGAGGAGAAGAAGAACAAGGGAAAGGACGUGGAAAAUGAGAAGAACAUGGAAAAGGACAUCAGAAAUAAGAGCAGAAUUCCUAAAACUUCCAUUCUGCGAUAAUGCUUGUAAAGAAUGAAAUACAUAUUCAAUAAAUCAAUUCAGAAAAAAUA